ACAUACUUUGUGUCAAAGUACGCAUGUUGAAGCUCUGAGUUGGAGUAUAAGGGUAGGUCAGCGUAGACCAAAUGUUCUAGUGCUAGGAAUACAAAAGACUCAGAAGAAGUUGUCUGAAUUCCCUCUUCUUUAAAUAUUUGCCGAAUGGCUUGUGUGACAAAAGAUCUCAAACGGUUGAGAGUCGAAACAUUUGUAAUGUGUAUGCCUUCUUAUAAUGGCAUUU
rnacentral:lncRNA from 1 species